rnacentral:sRNA from 1 species
ACUCAACGUUAAUUCUUUAAAAAGGGUGAGUUGAAGUUGUAAAAGCGUGCUGCUAGUAUUAGAUUCAUUCCAAUGCUUGGGCAGAUACUUGAUCAGCUUGUUAACCCUAAACUUGUUUUUAAGGAGUUU